GACGAACGCUGGCGGCGUGCUUAACACAUGCAAGUCGAACGGAAAGGCCUCUUUCGGGGGGUACUCGAGUGGCGAACGGGUGAGUAACACGUGAGUAACCUGCCCUUGACUUUGGGAUAACUUCAGGAAACUGGGGCUAAUACCGGAUAGGAGCUCCUGCUGCAUGGUGGGGGUUGGAAAGUUUCGGCGGUUGGGGAUGGACUCGCGGCUUAUCAGCUUGUUGGUGGGGUAGUGGCUUACCAAGGCUUUGACGGGUAGCCGGCCUGAGAGGGUGACCGGCGCGCUUGGGGAGGAGACACGACCAAGAGGCCUAGGGGGAGGGGGGGGGGAGACAGGUGUGGAAGGGGUGGAGGCGUGCGCGAGCAGCGGCGUGUGCGGGGUGACGUCCGUCUGUGGACAGCCGGUUGUCGUGAGGGGCGAGGGUUUGGUUGAGGGUGGGGGGAAAAGAAGAACCGAACACCUCGGUGCCAGCGGCGGCGGAAAAAAGAGGAAAAGCACACUUCGAAA
rnacentral:rRNA from 1 species